GAACUUUGCACAGCUCCACUGAAUCCUAAGUUUCUCCAGGGAAGGAACCAUGUCUUAUUCAUCUUUGAUCCCCAUGACCUGGCACUUAGUGGGCUGUUAUUAAAUGUUUAUUGAAUGCAUCAGUUGGCAACAUGUCAUAAUCCCUAACUCUUUCAGAACAAGUUAUGCUUCUCUUCACGGUGCUCAUAUAUCUCUUUAGUCCUCUCUAUUGUAAAUGUUUAUUUCUCUUCUCUGUCUUAUCCAGGUACAUCUCAACAACAGAAACAAAGACUUCACCUAUGAUUCCCCAGUCACUAGCAACUUCUUCUGUGAAUUCCCAGUCACUAGCUCUAGUACCAGUUUUCGACACAUAGUAACACUAGAAACAUCCUGGCAAAAAAUUCUCCAUUUCUGUGCAUGGAAGUUGCCCUGGUUCAGGAAGUUGAAGGCAAGGGAGCUUGUUGAUGUAAGUCUACACAAGUCAAGCUCCCAGGGAAAUGAGCAAGGUGCAGAAGAAGGCAGAGUUUUCCACUGUAAGGAUUUCUGGAAAAAAGUUACCAUACGCCUGCAUGUCUCUCAAACUGGAUAUGAUUAUAAAUAGGUUUAUUGUGAAGAAAUCAAUAUAAUUGAAGAUCACCAUAGAACAAUUUAAGUGCAAUUACAAUUUAAUGGUAUAAUUGGCUCUGUAAAUGUGUUGCAGAUUUUGGUAAAUAAAGUGUGCAACAUAGUAGAGAGCGAAGAAUUU
rnacentral:lncRNA from 1 species